AUACGGAGGAUGCGAGCGUUAUCCGGAUUUAUUGGGUUUAAAGGGAGCGUAGGCGGGAGCUUAAGUCAGCGGUUAAAUGGUGCGGCUCAACCGUGCCCUGCCGUUGAAACUGGGUUUCUUGAGAGUGCAAGAGGCGGAUGGAAUUCAUGGUGUAGCGGUGAAAUGCUUAGAUAUCAUGAAGAACUCCGAUUGCGAAGGCAGUCCGCUGGGGCACGUCUGACGCUGAUGCUCGAAGGUGCGGGAAUCAAACAGGAUUAGAUCCCCUGGUAGUCCGCACGGUAAACGAUGAUUACCCGCUGUCGGCGGCAGACAGUCGGCGGCCAAGCGAAAGCGAUAAGUAAUCCACCUGGGGAGUACGCCGGCAACGGUGAAACUCAAAUGAAUUGACGGGG
rnacentral:rRNA from 1 species